GCUGGCUGGCAGCUCGGCCGGGCCGGGUUGAGGCGCCGCGCUGCAGGCUGGGAUCGUGGAGGACCGGAGCGAGGGUCAGAGCGCAGCCCCGGCGAAAUGGCGGACGUUGAGAGCCAGGAGCAGGAGGCGGCGGCGACCGAGGCCGACUGGAGCCGCAACGAGCGCCUGGUGGCCACCGCGGCGCAGGAAGACAGCCAAGAAGCCGCGGAUUCCUCUGGGAAAAGUGGCAACGAAGAGAAUGGGGAAGUGUCGGACGAGAACCGCGACCCCAACAUCGCGCCCGUCAAGCCCAUCAAACACAAGAAAAAGAAGCACAAGCAUCGGAGCAAACACAAGAAGCACAAGCAUUCUUCAGAAGAUGACAAGGAGCGCAAACACAAGCAUAAACACAAGCAUAAAAAGCAUAAGAGGAAAGUGGCCGAGGGGUUGGAGAAGGAUGACGAUCACUCAAUUAAAAGACCCAAGUUUGACGACUAUGCUCUGCUGGAGGACUUGGAGAAGCAGAGGGCGAUGAUAAAGGCUGAAUUGGACAGUGAACUCAUGGAAGGAAAGGUUCAAUCUGGCAUGGGCUUGAUUUUGCAGGGAUACGUGUCGGACUCGGAGGAAGAAGGGGAGAUCCACGAGAAAGCCCACAACGGCGAACGGGUCGCGUCCGGCCGCGACGUUUCCGAAAUGCAGCCCGCGAGAGACAACAAAAUGAAACGGGAAGCCGUCGAAUCUAAGCCCGCUUCAAAGAGGAAAAGCAGGUCGAAAGACAGGACUAAACAUGCUAAGGCGGAGAAAAAGAAAAACAGGAUGGGCUCGGAGCACCGGAAAGAGAAAGAGAAGAUGCGGAGCGAGUCGCACGAACGGAAACGCUCAAAGAGUCCCCUCAAAGGCAGCAAGGCCGGAGAGAAGAGCAAGUCUCCCAUCUCGGCUAAAAGACGAUCGCAGGAGAAGAAACGGAAAUUGACUCCAACGGAAGAUAGCUCCAAGCCGAAGGAUCGCAAAACCAUGGCGGAAAGCAAAACGAGAGAGCGGAAUAAAAAGUCCAAGUCUCCCGUGGUGAAGCCCAGCAAGGCGGUCGACAGAAGUCAGAGAUCCAAAUCCAAAGAGCGCGAGAAGAGGCCGCGGAAAUCUGAGGUGGAAAAGGAUAAAAAACCCGCAAAGUCGCCCCCGAGGGAUGCGCCCUCUGGGAAGGAGAACCGAUCUCCUUUGAGGAGGCCCCCACUCUCUCCCAAACGGAGGAGCCUGUCCCCAAAGCACCGGGAAAGGUCGACCAAGCACAGCCGAUCACCGAUCAUUAACGAUCGCCCGCCUAAACCAAGCCAGUCUCCCUCGCGGAAUAUGUCCCCGCCCAGAAGAGCUAAAAGCAGAUCUAUAGAGCGAAGGCGGAGAGAGAACGACCGUGCCAGGGGUCUAUCACCAAGAAUGCGGUCUCGAGAUGACCCACCGAACAGGCUGGAUCGAACCAGAGAUAUCAGCAUGUCUCGCCGGUCCCCCAUCAGGCGAAGGCUCAGCAGGUCUCCGAUUCGGCGGCGAUCGCGCUCACUUCUCAGGCGAAGCCGUUCUCCCAGGAGAAGAAGCCGAUCUAGGAGGAGGUCUUUGGACAGAGACUGGAAUCGGAGAAGCAGAUCUCGCCGAAGGCGAUCCAGGUCACGGGGUCGGCGCAGAAGAAGAAGCGGAAGUCGAGACAAAGAAGAUAAAUUCAAGGGAAGCCUUUCUGAAGGAAUGAAAGUUGAACAGGAUUCUUCUGAUGACAAUCUGGAGGAUUUUGAUGUAGAAGAGGAAGAUGAAGAAGCUGUUAUUGAACAAAGACGGAAAGAAAGACUGGCGAUUGUUCAGAAAUAUAGACACCCAAAUGAAGACAGCAACAUGUCUGGGUUGUCCGAACCAAAUAGUCCCCAGAGCAGCUCGCGGAGCCGCUCCCCGUCUCCCGACGACAUCCUGGAGCAAGCCGCCGCCGACGUCAAGGAGUACGAGAGGGAGAACGUCGACACGUUCGAGGCCUCCGUCAACGCCAAGCGGAACCUCAUGGCACUCGAGCAGAAAGAAGGAGCUGCUCUGAAGAAGCCAACUGUUCCAGAUAUGUUUACAGAAUCUGAUGACAUGUUUGCUGCUUAUUUUGAUAGUGCCCAUUUGAGAGCGGCAGGCUUUGGGAAGGAUUUCAAAGAAAAUCCCAAUCUCAGGGAUAACUGGACCGACGCAGAAGGAUAUUAUAGAGUGAAUAUUGGGGAGGUUCUGGAUAAGCGUUACAGUGUAUAUGGUUACACUGGGCAGGGAGUCUUCAGUAACGUUGUACGUGCCAGAGAUAUGGCCAGAGCCAGCCAGGAGGUGGCAGUGAAAAUCAUCAGAAGCAACGAGCUCAUGCAGAAGACGGGGUUGAAGGAGCUGGAGUUCCUGAAGAAGCUGAACGAUGCCGAUCCAGAUGACAAGUUCCACUGCCUGAGGCUCUUCAGGCAUUUCUACCACAAGCAACAUCUCUGCUUGGUCUUUGAACCUCUGAGCAUGAAUUUGCGAGAAGUGCUGAAAAAAUAUGGGAAAGAUGUUGGUCUUCAUAUAAAGGCGGUGAGAUCAUACAGUCAGCAGCUGUUCCUUGCUCUGAAGCUGUUGAAGAGAUGCAACAUCCUCCAUGCUGACAUCAAACCUGACAAUAUCCUGGUAAACGAAUCCAAAACCAUCCUAAAGCUUUGUGACUUUGGUUCAGCUUCUCAUGUGGCUGAUAACGAUAUAACUCCGUACCUCGUCAGCCGAUUCUACCGUGCGCCUGAAAUCAUCAUUGGGAAGAUUUAUGAUUAUGCCAUAGACUUGUGGUCAGUCGGCUGCACCCUUUAUGAACUGUACACGGGGAAAAUUCUCUUUCCUGGCAAAACCAACAAUCACAUGCUGAAACUCAUGAUGGACUUAAAGGGCAAAAUGCCAAAUAAGAUGAUCAGAAAAGGGGUCUUCAAGGAUCAGCACUUUGAUCAGAAUCUGAACUUCAUGUACAUUGAAGUGGAUAAAGUGACAGAACGGGAGAAAGUGACUGUCAUGAGCACUAUUAACUCCACGAAGGACCUACUGGCGGACAUGAUUGGCUGCCAGCGCUUGCCGGAAGAUCAGCGCAAAAAGGUUCACCAGCUGAAGGACUUGCUGGAGCAGAUUCUCAUGCUCGACCCUGCCAAACGUGUCAGCAUCAACCAGGCCCUGCAGCACACCUUCAUUCAGGAGAAGAUUUAAUCGCCGCAUUUAACGGGUUUGAGCAAUUAAACAAAAAAAAAAGACUGGGAAAGUCAGAGAAAAAAAGUAUUUUAUUAUGUGUGAACCACAAUGUUUACCCUGAAAUAUGCAUGAAGUUAAAUUAAAAAGAAAAGAUGUUACUUCUCACAGGAAUAUGAGUCACUGUAAAUAUAUUGAUUUGUUUUUUUCCAGAAUGUUUUCUUCAUUCUUUCACUGUAGUUUAACUGCUAAGGCUGCACAAAAACUGUUCAUUGAAGUUAUUUUAAAAAUCUUGUAAGCAGGCGAUUGAUAUUUUGAGGGAGGGCGACUAUUGGCUCUCUAGGCUGGCGAGACCCACCUUUGUUUGUGUUUUUGUGCAGGCUUAGCCCAAUCCUUGUCUCUCUGUGACAGCGGCUGAGGUAAAAAUGAUGUUUAUAUUCACAUUUUCCUAGGUGUGUACGCAGGCCAGCAUUCCCUUGGUGUACUCAGUGCCGAAGGGGUGUGUGACCCUACCUGUGCCUGCUCGAGGGGUGGUCACAUCAUCUAAAGCAGGUUGUGUACCACUUUCAGUACACUGAAGGCAAAUGUUACCUUCCACACUUGAGCAAAGCAGCUGCUUUUUAAAGCGAAAGAGAGAGAGAGAAAGAAAGAGAGAGAGAGAGAGGAGCACGUUACUGCUCUGGAGGGCAGCAGGUCACGUCACCUGGUCCGUGGGUUCUGCCUCUGCAUGAGAUGCCUCCUUCAUCUCUCCACAAGGUCAUUGCUGACAGCAUGCCUAGAUAAGCAUAUCAAACCAGGAUGAAACUUGCCGUUUCUUUGCCACUGUUACCUAUGUUUAAAAAAAAAAAAAAAAUUGAAACGCUGCGAAUAGUCGACACUUCUUUAGCAUUCUUCGCUUGGCUCUGUUUUGUGAUGUAUGUAUGUAAAGAUUUUUAAACUUUGAAGCUUGAGGCAUUUACUCGAGAAAAUUAUUUGUAGUGUUCUUUGUUACGGCAAAUUCUUUCACAGGCUUUUUUAUUUUUUUAUUUUUUUUAAAAGAACAAAAACAAGCAUAAACCUAAGGGAUCAAGGUGUUUCUUUACUUGUUCUCUGUCUCGUAGGUGGAACCUGAAGGGAGGAGAUACAUAUUGCAAGAACGUGAAGACUGAAUUAAGGUGGGGACGAUUGUAAAUGUGCUCCUCCCACGAUGCUUCAUUAUCUUAGCCCCGUCACAACUUACCGCCUUCAGAGUUCUUCAGUGUUCAAUGAAAGUGAAGAUGGUGGUUUUUACACUAAUGUUUGUCAAUACCUUUAUACCCCAGUAGAUUUGAAUUGUUUGUUUGUUUGAAAUAUUUCCAGAUUGUAAAUGUGUUAGAUUUGAACCUGGGUAGUAAUCAUUCUUAAGCACUGUGAGAAAAUUAUAAUUGCAAAGCAAUAGACUAUAAUACUCUUGGCAGGUAUUGAAUACACGACAAAUGAGUGCAUUUUGUCAAGUUGUAACAUG